AGAACUUAGCAGAGAUGCUUUGGUGCCCUUCGGGGAACUCUGAGACAGGUGCUGCAUGGCUGUCGUCAGCUCGUGUUGUGAAAUGUUGGGUUAAGUCCCGCAACGAGCGCAACCCUUAUCCUUUGUUGCCAGCGGUUAGGCCGGGAACUCAAAGGAGACUGCCAGUGAUAAACUGGAGGAAGGUGGGGAUGACGUCAAGUCAUCAUGGCCCUUACGAGUAGGACUACACACGUGCUACAAUGGCGCAUACAAAGAGAAGCGACCUCGCGAGAGCAAGCGGACCUCAUAAAGUGCGUCGUAGUCCGGAUUGGAGUCUGCAACUCGACUCCAUGAAGUCGGAAUCGCUAGUAAUCGUGGAUCAGAAUGCCACGGUGAAUACGUUCCCGGGCCUUGUACACACCGCCCGUCACACCAUGGGAGUGGGUUGCAAAAGAAGUAGGUAGCUUAACCUUCGGGAGGGCGCUUACCACUUUGUGAUUCAUGACUGGGGUGAAGUCGUAACAAGGUAGGCGUAGUGCU
rnacentral:rRNA from 1 species